GUCUGUAUGAAGUAAUGAAUAUAAAGUCUAACCUGCCCACUGAAAUAUAUUUAAAGGGCCGCGGUAAUUUGACCGUGCGAAGGUAGCAUAAUCAAUAGCCUUUUAAUUGGAGGCUUGAAUGAAUGGUUGGACGAUAGAGAGACUGUCUAGUCUAUUAAAUUUGAAUUUAACUUUUGUGUGAAAAGGCAUAAGUGCUUUAGGGGGACGAUAAGACCCUAUAAAACUUUAUAUUGAAAAGAUUAUUUUUAUAAUAUUAUUAAAUAAAAAUUAAUUGGAUAUAUUUGACUGGGGCGGUUGGAAUAGAAUUGAUUAUCUGUUCAAAUAAUAUAAUACUAAUAAGUAGAAAUUUGAACCUUUAAUUUAAGGAUUAAAAGAUCAAGUUACUUUAGGGAUAACAGCGUUAUUUUCUUUGAGAGUUCUUAUCGACAAGAUUAGUUGCGACCUCGAUGUUGAAUUAAGAUAAACUUUUAGGUGCAGAAGUUUAAAUUAGUAGGUCUGUUCGACCUUUAAUAUCUUACAUGAUUUGAGUUCAAACCGGUGUGAG
rnacentral:rRNA from 1 species